rnacentral:rRNA from 1 species
GCCUGAGGAUGGGCCUGCGACCGAUUAGGUUGUUGGCGUGGUAAUGGCACACCAAGCCGAAGAUCAGUACGGGGCAUGAGAGUCGUAGCCCGGAGAUGGGGGCUGAGACACGGCCCCAGGCCCUACGGGGCGCAGCAGGCGCGAAAACUCCGCAAUUGUCGAAAGCAAGACGGGGCGAACUCAAGUGCCACUUGAAGAACGUGGCUUUUUCAGUAGUGUAAAUGAGCUGUUAGAAUAAGAGGGGGGCAAGACUGGUGUCAGCCGCCGCGGUAACACCAGCCCCUCGAGUGGUGGGGAUGAUUAUUUGGCCUAAAGCGUCCGUAGCCGGCCCUGUAAAUCUCUCGUUAAAUCCAGCGUCCUAAGCGUUGGGCUGCGAGAGGAACUGCAGAGCUAGAGGGUGGGAGUGGUCAGCGGUAUUCCUGGGGUAGGGGCGAAAUCCAUUGAUCCCAGGAGGACCACCAGUGGCGAAGGCUGCUGACUUGAACACGCCUGACGGUGAGGGACGAAAGCUGGGGUAGCGAAUCGGAUUAGAUACCCGAGUAGUCCCAGCCGUAAACGAUGCAGGCUAGGUGUUGGGUCGGCCACGUGCUGGCUCAGUGCCACAGGGAAGCCAUUAAGCCUGCCGCCUGGGGAGUACGGCCGCAAGGCUGAAACUUAAAGG